UGUCCCGAGAAAAAUGGCGUUCGUCAGCUCCAGUUUGUAUCCAGCCUCUCAUGGAGACUUCAGAUGCCCCAACACCUGCAAUGAGAAGACUAAAUGCCUAUGAAGAGACGACUCAACACCUGUGAAAGAUGACUCGACGCCUGUGGAGAGACGACUCAAUGCUGGGCCAACAGACACAGAGCUUGCAGCGGGGGAGCUUCACUGCAAAGCAGACAGUGGGCUGCCAGAUAAAUACACUCAACGGUCUGUGAAGUACAGCAAUGUUAGCCUCUUCUUAUGCAGUCAGAAUGUGAUGGAAAACUCCGGUAAGAAGUGGACAUCCAGGGGUUUAGGUUCACGCUUCACACAGCAAACAGUGCAUCACAUCCCUUCAUCUCAACAAUUCAGCACUCAGUGGGAAAUACUCAUAUAUGGCCGUCGCCCUUCUUCUGAACUGGCAUUCACAUCAAGAGGUCCCACAGACACGAGAGGAGGAUGGAAAUUGAUUUGGACUACUCAUGAUCUCUCACAAAUGAUCUUCUGUCCCAUGGUUACCACCUUCUCAUUGAAUCAGCCUGCUCUUUCUCCCAACUCACAGCACCGUGCCCGUUUGCCGGCCCCACUUCCUCUUCACCACGGCUCACACUUUCUCUGAGAACACUUCUCCCAAAACAAUGCCCCGUUUGGUCUGUACUUCCUCCUUUUAUACUCCUCUAAUCGCAACGCGUCCCAAUCGCGAAGCUUUACUCCCCAUGCACAGCUGCCAGCGACGUUUGGCUGAUCACCCCAUUUUCGGGGAUUUUUGCGCUACCCUGGAACUAACCCGGUGUUCCUUUUUUUUGGGUCCGGCGGGAGGCAAUCACGGCGAACAUUAGUUCCCGCUUUGUUAGGGACAAAGUUGGAUUUUGUUACCCUGUGACAUGUACUUUUUCAAAAUCUACAAUUUUAUAUUUGUGCAUUUUCCUAUCGUUUGCAUUUAUUUUAUUUCAUUGCUUUUUUUUUUCUAAGC